ACGAUGGACCGUGGCAGAAAAUUUCCAAAGUAUUAUACCAAAACAACAACUUUGUAGGGAUAUAUUGAAACUGAAGACAAAUCAUAAUGGCUUUGAAUGGAGGCAGCGGACAAAACGGUCCAAUUUGGUUGCGGUUUAAUCCAUUUCAUUUUUGGGAUGGACAAUAAACAGCUGCAGACUAAAUUUAUUUGUAUGUAUAAAUGGUAUGUAGAUGGUCCACUGCGAUUUUUUUUU
rnacentral:sRNA from 1 species